rnacentral:rRNA from 1 species
UGAGGAAUAUUGGGCAAUGGAGGCAACUCUGACCCAGCCAUGCCGCGUGCAGGAAGACUGCCCUAUGGGUUGUAAACUGCUUUUAUACAGGAAGAAACACACCUACGUGUAGGUGCUUGACGGUACUGUAAGAAUAAGCACCGGCUAACUCCGUGCCAGCAGCCGCGGUAAUACGGAGGGUGCAAGCGUUAUCCGGAAUCAUUGGGUUUAAAGGGUCCGCAGGCGGUCAAUUAAGUCAGAGGUGAAAUCCCAUAGCUUAACUAUGGAACUGCCUUUGAUACUGGUUGACUUGAGUUAUACGGAAGUAGAUAGAAUAAGUAGUGUAGCGGUGAAAUGCAUAGAUAUUACUU